UAUUAAAUCUUUUAUUUGUUUUUACUAUUAAAAACUAACGUAUCUAAUAGUAUAAUAAGAUAGUAACACGUGACAUGUUACGUAUACAACAUGUUGAUAGAUAGAGGCUUGGUUUUAAUAGUAGAAAUAAAUAAAAUUUUUAAUA
rfam:Gossypium hirsutum cultivar TM-1 chromosome 25, whole genome shotgun sequence